rnacentral:misc_RNA from 1 species
AUUAUUAAAGAGAUCAUUAAAAUAUUUUCUUGAAAUAAUUUUUGUUGAAGGUUCUUCUAUUUUGGAUACCAACAUUUUCUAGAUUUCAUGUGGGAAAUUCACAUCAAUGCACUAAUCAAGCCAAAGAUGCUGACCUACAUGGCAACCAUGACACUGAAGAUGAGAUACAUAAAUUCAGGAAAAGAUGAGUGUAAACAUCAAAAUCCAGAAAAAAAUAUCUUCAAAAAGUUUCAAGUCUUAAAUAUUAUAUUGGGCAUCCUUCUAAGUUAUAAAUAAAUAA